CCUACGGGAGGCAGCAGUGAGGAAUAUUGGUCAAUGGGCUUACGCCUGAACCAGCCAAGUCGCGUGAGGGAAGACUGCCCUAUGGGUUGUAAACCUCUUUUGUCAGGGAGCAACGCCGGCUACGUGUAGCCGGACUGAGAGUACCUGAAGAAAAAGCAUCGGCUAACUCCGUGCCAGCAGCCGCGGUAAUACGGAGGAUGCGAGCGUUAUCCGGAUUUAUUGGGCGUAAAGCGAGUGCAGGCGGUUCCAUAAGUCUGAU
rnacentral:rRNA from 1 species